AUACAUGCCGAAAGCCCCGACCUCACGGGAGGGGUGUGUUUAUUAGAUAAAAAACCAACGCCCUUUGGGGCUCCUUGGUGAAUCAUGAUAACCUCACGAAUCGCAUGGCCUUGCGCCGGCGAUGGUUCAUUCAAAUUUCUGCCCUAUCAACUUUCGAUGGUAGGAUCGUGGCCUACCAUGGUCGCAACGGGUAACGGGGAAUUAGGGUUCUAUUCCGGAGAGGGAGCCUGAGAAACGGCUACCACAUCCAAGGAAGGCAGCAGGCGCGCAAAUUACCCAAUCCCGACACGGGGAGGUAGUGACAAUAAAUACUGAUACGGGGCUCUUUCGGGUCUUGUAAUCGGAAUGGGUACAAUCUAAAUCCCUUAACGAGGAACAAUUGGAGGGCAAGUCUGGUGGGCCCUGCGCGGGUCCCCCGCCUCCGAGGCGGGGCUACUGACGCCAGCGAUAGCGGCCCUCGGUGGGCCCGCUAGUCGAGCACCCGAGGCGGUGAUGGGUGGGUGCCGGCAAGACAACCUGGUUCGGGGGAGGCCACUGGCGCGCUGCGACCCGCCAAUCCCGAGCGGAGACCCCCGGCGAACGUCCUGGGGGCCCGUGUAGAGCGCGCAAAGGUGUCGGUCGGCCCUGGAGGCCGGCUUGAGGGACGUGCCAUCCCCGUCCGAGAGGACGUGCUCCGUCGGAGCCCCCAUCAGGCGAGGGCGGAGCGGGGCGUCGGCUUGGUGACCGUCGCCUGGAGGAACGAGGCCAGCAGCCGCGGUAAUUCCAGCUCCAAUAGCGUAUAUUAAAGUUGUUGUAGUUAAAAAGCUCGUAGUUGAACCUUGGGCCUGGCUGGCCGGUCCGCCUCACCGCGUGUACUGGACCGGCCGGGCCUUUCCUCCUGGGGAGCCGCAUGCCCUUCGCUGGGUGUGCCGGGGAUCCAGGACGUUUACCUUGAGAAAAUUAGAGUGUUCAAAGCAGGCCUAUGCUCGAAUACAUUAGCAUGGAAUAAUAGAAUAGGACGUGCGGUUCUAUUUUGUUGGUUUCUAGGACCGCCGUAAUGAUUAAUAGGGAUAGUCGGGGGCAUCCGUAUUCAAUUGUCAGAGGUGAAAUUCUUGGAUUUAUUGAAGACGAACUACUGCGAAAGCAUUUGCCAAGGAUGUUUUCAUUAAUCAGUGAACGAAAGUUAGGGGAUCGAAGACGAUCAGAUACCGUCGUAGUCUUAACCAUAAACCAUGCCGACUAGGGAUCGGGCGGUGUUAUUCUUUUGACCCGCUCGGCACCUUACGAGAAAUCAAAGUCUUUGGGUUCUGGGGGGAGUAUGGUCGCAAGGCUGAAACUUAAAGAAAUUGACGGAAGGGCACCACCAGGCGUAAACGGUCGCAUGAAGCCGCGACAGCCUCUGCGCCAAAUAGCAGCCUGAAAGGGUGAGGUGGUGUCUCACGCACCCAAAGGGUGUCGAGUGUUAAAAUGCUAGUUCACCCUUAAAGGGUGAGCAACACACUCAAACUGCGGGAAACCCCUAAAGCUCCUGCUACCAAGCUGAUGUUCGGAAGGCGUCAGUGGCCGGGCUAAUGGCCUUGGGUAUGGUCGCAAGGCAUGGAGAUGUUACAAUGGGCAAUCCGCAUCCAAACCCCUGCUUGUAGCCGAGCUCUAGGGUUGGGUAAUGAGCAUGGGGUCGGUUCAGAGACUACAUGGGUGUGGGUUGGGUCUACCGAGUAUUCACUAGCACAUGGACCCUCAUGUCAAUGUCAUGGGAGCCAAUGUGAUGCUGUAGACCCUGCCUAAGAUAUAGUCCAUGAGCCCUUGUAAUGUAGGGUUAGAUGUAACGGGAGCCUGCGGCUUAAUUUGACUCAACACGGGGAAACUCACCAGGUCAACAGUCUGGGCCUGGAAGAGCGCUUCGUUUCGGAGGCGCUAGUGCUGUACGUUCCAUGUGAGGAAGUCCUCGAGUUUGGGCAUGGACGGUCCCUUAAGUUGGGUGGGCCGGUACAGUGCAACACCAGCUGGUACAGGGGACGUCAAGGCCCACCGUCCAUGGACGGUGGGGCCAGGCCAAUCCUGUGGCGAGCCCAAGUCACGCUGGGUCGUCGCAACGCGCGCCAAGCGGUGGGUUUCUCUCAAGGCCUGUGGGUCAUCAAAGGCCUUUGAGAAAGAAGCUUAAGGUACGCGCUAAUCCCACGGGUAACCGUGUCCUGGUGAUAAGGUCCAAACGCCGAAGCAUCAGGGAUUCCUCAUGUUAAGUCUAAAUGAGUGAAUGGUAAGGAUGAUAUUGCAUUGCAGUUCCUGAACAUUGUGGCUAUAGCCCCAACUGUCUCGUAAUCGCUACAAGCGGAAAACUGCGGUGCACAUCCAAGGCAAGAACUGCCAGACACAGUAAGGAUUGACAGAUUGAGGGCUCUUUCUUGAUUUUGUGGGUGGUGGUGCAUGGCCGUUCUUAGUUGGUGGAGUGAUUUGUCUGCUUAAUUGCGAUAACGAACGAGACCUUAACCUGCUAAAUAGCCCGGCUGGCCUUGGCCGGCCGCUGGCUUCUUAGAGGGACUAUCGGCUCAAGCCGAUGGAAGUUUGAGGCAAUAACAGGUUGACGUCAUCACAGGCCUGUGACAGCGGGGCCACGGUGAAAGAGAGGCCCGCUAGUUCAACGUCUUCACCUCUGUGGGGGGUGCUCCCCCCUCUGUCGGGCAGAGGCGAGGUGGGUGGGUCCGGUGGCCUUUGCCCCCUCGUGACGUGAGCAACACCACCUGGUACAGGGAACGCCUUGAAUCCCCCGCUGGGGGUCUCAGGCCGAUCCUGUGGCGAGUCUGCCCUGUGGUGGACCGUCGCAACGCGCGGUAAGGGGUGGGCCGGUCGGUGACCGGUCUGAGGUACGUGCUAAUCCCUUGGGAGACCAAGCCCCUUCGGUGAGGCCCGACAAGCCAAGCCACGGGGGAUGGCGUAUCCCUUUCGUUUGGGGGUCGCCGUCGGGGUGGAGGAUGCUGUGAUGCCCUUAGAUGUUCUGGGCCGCACGCGCGCUACACUGACAGAGCCAACGAGUUCAUCACCUUGGCCGGAAGGCUUGGGUAAUCUUGUUAAACUCUGUCGUGCUGGGGAUAGAGCAUUGCAAUUAUUGCUCUUCAACGAGGAAUGCCUAGUAAGCGCGAGUCAUCAGCUUGCGUUGAUUACGUCCCUGCCCUUUGUACACACCGCCCGUCGCUACUACCGAUUGAAUGGCUCAGUGAGGCCUCCGGACUGGCCCCAGGAGGUCGGCAACGACCACCCGGGGCCGG
rnacentral:rRNA from 1 species